rnacentral:ncRNA from 2 species
CUCACCGAGGAGCGCUGCAACAGGCUUGACCUGCCAGGCUCGGGAGGCUAUCCAAACAUUUUGCAACGGCGCUCAGUUUUU